GACGAACGCUGGCGGCGUGCUUAACACAUGCAAGUCGAACGGUGAAGCUCCAGCUUGCUGGAGUGGAUCAGUGGCGAACGGGUGAGUAACACGUGAGCAACCUGCCCCUGACUCUGGAAUAAGCGCUGGAAACGGCGUCUAAUACUGGAUACGAGAAGGGUCCGCAUGGGCACUUUCUGGAAAGUUUUUCGGUUGGGGAUGGGCUCGCGGCCUAUCAGCUUGUUGGUGAGGUAAUGGCUCACCAAGGCGACGACGGGUAGCCGGCCUGAGAGGGCGACCGGCCACACUGGGACUGAGACACGGCCCAGACUCCUACGGGCGGCAGCCGUGGGGAAUCUUGCCCACUGGGCGAAAGCCUGAUGCAGCGACGCCGCGUGAGGGAUGACGGCCUUCGGGUUGUAAACCUCUUUCAGCAGGGAAGAAGCGAAAGUGACGGUACCUGCAGAAGAAGCACCGGCUCACUACGUG
rnacentral:rRNA from 1 species